UUGGCAGUUAAAAAUUAACUUGUUAGCUUUCCAUGUUUACAUGUAUUCUUUUGCUUCAGUUCAAUAUUAUUUUCAAAUAGUUCCAUUUUGUAAUGGUGUGUUAUAAUAGUCAAAAUAAUAAUAUAAGAAAACAGGUUUACAUGGCACUCGAACAUGGUCUUUUCAACGAGUAUGUAAAGGUAAGUUUAUACUUCAAAAAGGUCUGUUUUUAACCUGACAAGAAUGUCGUCC
rnacentral:lncRNA from 1 species